AUUGAACGCUGGCGGAAUGCUUUACACAUGCAAGUCGAACGGCAGCACGGACUUCGGUCUGGUGGCGAGUGGCGAACGGGUGAGUAAUACAUCGGAACGUGCCCAGUCGGGGGGGAUAACGUAGCGAAAGCUACGCUAAUACCGCAUACGAUCUAAGGAUGAAAGCGGGGGAUCGCAAGACCCCGCGCGAUUGGAGCGGCCGAUGGCAGAUUAGGUAGUUGGUGGGGUAAAGGCCUACCAAGCCGACGAUCUGUAGCUGGUCUGAGAGGACGACCAGCCACACUGGGACUGAGACACGGCCCAGACUCCUACGGGAGGCAGCAGUGGGGAAUUUUGGACAAUGGGCGCAAGCCUGAUCCAGCCAUUCCGCGUGCAGGAUGAAGGCCCUCGGGUUGUAAACUGCUUUUGUACGGAACGAAAAGGCUCUGGUUAAUACCCGGGGCUCAUGACGGUACCGUAAGAAUAAGCACCGGCUAACUACGUGCCAGCAGCCGCGGUAA
rnacentral:rRNA from 1 species